rnacentral:rRNA from 1 species
UCGAGCGAAUGGGAUUAAGAGCUUGCUCUUAUGAAGUUAGCGGCGGACGGGUGAGUAACACGUGGGUAACCUGCCCAUAAGACUGGGAUAACUCCGGGAAACCGGGGCUAAUACCGGAUAACAUUUUGAACCGCAUGGUUCGAAAUUGAAAGGCGGCUUCGGCUGUCACUUAUGGAUGGACCCGCGUCGCAUUAGCUAGUUGGUGAGGUAACGGCUCACCAAGGCAACGAUGCGUAGCCGACCUGAGAGGGUGAUCGGCCACACUGGGACUGAGACACGGCCCAGACUCCUACGGGAGGCAGCAGUAGGGAAUCUUCCGCAAUGGACGAAAGUCUGACGGAGCAACGCCGCGUGAGUGAUGAAGGCUUUCGGGUCGUAAAACUCUGUUGUUAGGGAAGAACAAGUGCUAGUUGAAUAAGCUGGCACCUUGACGGUACCUAACCAGAAAGCCACGGCUAACUACGUGCCAGCAGCCGCGGUAAUACGUAGGUGGCAAGCGUUAUCCGGAAUUAUUGGGCGUAAAGCGCGCGCAGGUGGUUUCUUAAGUCUGAUGUGAAAGCCCACGGCUCAACCGUGGAGGGUCAUUGGAAACUGGGAGACUUGAGUGCAGAAGAGGAAAGUGGAAUUCCAUGUGUAGCGGUGAAAUGCGUAGAGAUAUGGAGGAACACCAGUGGCGAAGGCG